GGCUGGGCUCCGUGAUCUCCACCGUCUCGAAGUUCAAGCGGUCCUGAGCCAGCUCGAGCAUGAGCAGCGGCGCCCAGCAGUUGCGCACCAGCACCAGUUGCUGGUCCAGAGGGAGCACCUGGAAGCAGGGGAGAACAGAGCCCAGGCAAAGUUGGAUAUUCUAGCAUUUCUGAACGUGCCACCCUGAUGUCAUUUACAUGGCAGAGAGAGGGAAGAUGUGGAGAAGAUGGAACACGGGUCAGGCUGUCCUCCUCGCUCUACUCCAGGGCUGCCGUCUCUGGCUGGCCAGUCAGGGCCUGCGCUGCACCAAGCACUUAGCGCUGUAUCCUCAUUGAGAAGAUGCCCUUUGAACAAAGACCUGAAGAAUGGCCUGCAGAUGUCUCUGGGAAAUCGUCCAGUUUCUCCGAGGACCAGGGUUAAGAACAUGUGGAAAUAUUUAUGUGGUGAAAUGAAUACUGGAACAAGAGCUACAAGAAUUGAAUUUUAGUGUUAUCGUCUGCCAACAAACCACGCAUCUUUGAGUAAAGCCAUGCAGCAUCCCUGGCCCAGAUUGUUAAGAAAAAAUGAGGCUGUUCAAUUGGAUGUCUUAAAUAUGUUUUCUAGCUUAAAGGUGACGGUAUUAGAAGGUGGAGCUUUGGGAGGUGCUGAAGUCUCUAGGGUGAAGCCCUGAUGAAUGGGAUUAGUGCCUUAUAAAAGGGGCUUCACAGAGCCCCCCUCCCCUCCCUGCCGUGUCGGGAUCCGAUCAGAUGCCUGCCACCUGGAAGAAGGCCUUCGCUGACCGUGCUGGCGCCUUGAUCUCGAACUCCCAGUCUCCAGAACGAGUGUGACUCCCACUGCGUCAGCUGUUCAGUUGGAGAAAGGCCACUCAAUUAUCCAGCCACAAUAUACAAUGUAAUUGACAAUCAUCCUUGGGCUGAGACAUUUUCUCCUUGGAGACUCCCCUGAUUGAAGUUGGGCUACGUACACAUACUGAAGGUCUCUGGAUUCCCUGGCAACCUAGGAAAUCGAACUCCCUGGCCUUGGGUCACUUAGCCUUGUCCUCAGAGACGAUGCCGGCCAAAACCGUGAAGGAGCAGCCUAUCCAUUCUUUCGGUGCGAGAACUUUUGCCUUUAUUGCCUACAUAUGGAAAAAUGGUCUUGUGGAACAAAGUCAAAUGUCAUUCACGAAUGAAUGAAUCAGCAUAUGUCUACCAAACACAUCAUUCCUGUAUCUGGAUUUGUGCAUAUCAGAGAAGGAGGAUGCAUGAUCGAAGCAAUGAAGAACGUUUAAUCCUCAUUAGAGCGAGAAGGCACGGACAUGUGAAAAUGCAGACGUGAAAGCCACUGUAUCAGCACCUGCUGCAGUAUGGCUCUGUGAUACGCAGCCUCAAAAAUCUCAGUGAUAUAAAGCAGCAAGCGUAAUUUUCACUCAAAGCUCCUGGAUCUCUCCGGCAUCAGACUAGAGUGGACGAGGAGUCAAACGUCUUCCUACCUUCUGUCUAGGUUGCCGUCUAACGACCCAAAGCGUGAGUGAAGUUGCCCAAUCGAUCUUGGUCGGGCUUAACCAGACGGCUCCAAGCUGCGGGUGGGAUCCCGCUCUGCCUCACACAUCCGUCCACCUCCUCGGGCCACUGGACAGACUGGCGGGACCACGGUCUUCCCACGGUGAUGACAGAGGCGCAGAGGCCCCCAAGCCCAGAAGCGAUCGUCACAAUCUCAUGCAAACUGAAACGAUCAGAUUUGUCAAGGCUGUGGAUUGACCAGAUGUCUUGUAUGUUGCUGCUGAGAAUGGACUUCUCACCUUAUUUGCAAAAUUCAUGUAGCCCGUGACCCAGCAAUUCAGCUGUUAGGUGUGCCUCCAUGAGAAACUCAUCGAUACCCACCGACAGUGCCACCAGGCCGACAGUUAGUGAGGUCAGUGCGAAACCUAGACGGUCAUCAGUGAGGUUUAUGUGAAACACGCACGGGACACUCUGGCUUCACAGUUGUGUCAUUUAUUGCAUGUGUGUUUUACCGUAUCGUGAUGAUUUUUUUUUUUUUUGCGCGCUAAACCAUUUUGUCUAUAAAAAAGGGGGGCGCCUGGGUGGCUCAGUCGGCUGAGUGUCCGACUUCGGCUCGGGUCAUGAUCUCGCA